rfam:Chlorella variabilis unplaced genomic scaffold CHLNCscaffold_1, whole genome shotgun sequence.
CCUGCUCUAUGACGGCGGCAGGCUAAACCGCACCUUCGGACGCCUGCCGCCCGACCCCUGCGGC